UUUCUCAGCACUUGAUGAUGUGUGUGUCUCUCCACCUCCCCUAGGACUUGGUCUUGCUUGAAAAGCUGGGGUGGUGAACCCUGAAGAUCAUCCGCCUAAGGGAAGAGCAUGAAGGGCUCCUAGAAACCUUAGAGAUGGACCGCCUCACCUUACAGGUGGUGAAACAGGCUUGUAAAACACUGCUCACCAACAUGUAGAUUCGGGAAGGACGUCUCCACCCCUGGGCUUUUUUACGUCUUCCAUCCCUUCUCUGCGCGAGGGCCCUCUCAACAACUCGGCUCAGCAGAAGCAGAGUGUUACAUGUGGUCGCCUUUCGGAUGAAGGUCAAGAUGAGCGGAGACCACCAAGCACUUUUCCAGAAGGAUAUUAGAUUUCACUGGAGCCAGAAUCCCAGAAGUACACUCUGGUCUCUGGAAAUUGCAAGCCUUUCUCAGGUGCCUCCAAGCACAAGGAGCCCUCAUUCACAAAAGGAGAGAGAGGCUAUUUCUCCAACUGUCUUGCCCACAUUCUGCCAAGGACCAUGUCCUGCCCACUUUGCUGCGU